UUAAAGGUGCAAUCUGGGAUAUUUGCUGUUUAAUAUUUGGUGGUGGGCUAAUGUUGAGCUUUAACACAAAUCCCAGAUUGUAUCUUUAAGGUCCAAGCUGCCCUAAACUGCUGUUGUCAUGUUCAUUAGGGGACACAAUGGAAAACAUUUAAAUGUUGUGCAAUGGAAAAAGAAAACGGGCAUUUCAUAUUGGACAAGUCCAGGUGGUAGGUGGUAGGUCUAGGUGGUAGGUCCAGGUGGUAGGUGGUAGGUCCAGGUGGUAGGUGGUCGGUCCAGGUGGUAGGUGGUCGGUCCAGGUGGUAGGUGGUAGGUCCAGGUGGUAGGUGGUAGGUCCAGGUGGUAGGUGGUAGGUCCAGGUGGUAGGUGGUAGGUCCAGGUGGUAGGUGGUAGGUCCAGGUGGUAGGUGGUAGGUCCAGGUGGUAGGUGGUAGGUCUAGGUGGUAGGUCCAGGUGGUAGGUGGUAGGUCCAGGUGGUAGGUGGUCGGUCCAGGUGGUAGGUGGUAGGUCCAGGUGGUAGGUGGUAGGUCCAGGUGGUAGGCUAGUCCCUCACUGUUUAAUUUUUAUUUUAUUUUUUAUUAUUUUUUUUUUUAUCACCUUUAUUUAACCAGGUAGGCCAGUUGAGAACAAGUCCUCAUUUACAACUGUGACCUGGCCAAGAUAAAACAAAGCAGUGCGACACAAACACAGACAGAGAUAAAACAUGGAAUAAACAAACGUACAGUCAAUAACACAAUAGAAAAGUCUAUAUACAGUAUGUGCAAAUUAAGUAAGAUUAGGGAGGUAAG
ensembl:lncRNA